CCGAGUUAUCAAAAAAAACUCCAAACCCUUCUGUGAACCUUACCGAUGUUGCCUCGGCGAGCUGCGGCUACCCUGCAGCUACCCUGUAAUUACCUACCCGGUAGCUACCCUGUACCGCGCUUACGGCUCGCCGGAGGACUGCUAAAACUCUUCGUUUCACUGAGGAUAUCUGAAUGCUUCAACUGAAAUAAGUUA
rnacentral:misc_RNA from 1 species